rnacentral:lncRNA from 1 species
UCGGUGCCGAAAACUAUAGGUGCAUUAUUGGACAAUCUAGAUCCUUUCGUUCUAUCUGCUCAAUAAUGAUAAGAAAUACAAUGGACGUCCAAUUAUUAAUCUCCCUAUACUUUUACUGAAGGCUAUGUGAAAUCCAUGAAGAAAAAAGCUACUACUGGGCUCUUGAUCUAAAUGAACUCAAAGGGAGACCCAAUAAACUCAUGAAGCUUUAAAUUUCCUAACUACGGUUGGGAAGCAUCCUCACACCACCACCUUCAUGUUUUUACGGUAGACUUCUUCGAAGAAUCAACCAGCAUCACUACUAUCUACAACAAUACCACGUUUUUAUAAGCAUGAUGGUGUGUGUUGAAAACACUUUUGUCAAGCAUAUCACCAAUUAGAUCUAGGAUGAUACCUCCCAAGCCUAAAUUAACAAGCCACUGAUGAGACUUCUUGCCC